UACGUAGGGGGCGAGCGUUGUCCGGAUUUAUUGGGCGUAAAGAGCGUGUAGGCGGCCAGCUAGGUCUGCUGUGAAAACUCGAGGCUCAACCUCGAGACGUCGGCGGAAACCAUCUGGCUAGAGUCCGGAAGAGGAGAGUGGAAUUCCUGGUGUAGCGGUGAAAUGCGCAGAUAUCAGGAAGAACACCCGUGGCGAAGGCGGCUCUCUGGGACGGUACUGACGCUGAGACGCGAAAGCGUGGGGAGCGAACAGG
rnacentral:rRNA from 1 species